rnacentral:rRNA from 1 species
UACGUAGGGAGCAAGCGUUGUCCGGAAUCAUUGGGCGUAAAGCGCACGUAGGCGGAUCGCUAAGUCAGGGGUGAAAUCCUGGAGCUCAACUCCAGAACUGCCUUUGAUACUGGCAAUCUCGAGUCCGGGAGAGGUGAGUGGAACUGCGAGUGUAGAGGUGAAAUUCGUAGAUAUUCGCAAGAACACCAGUGGCGAAGGCGGCUCACUGGCCCGGUACUGACGCUGAGGUGCGAAAGCGUGGGGAGCAAACAGG